AGAGUUUGAUCCUGGCUCAGGACGAACGCUGGCGGCGUGCCUAAUACAUGCAAGUCGUGCGGGCCUUGUUAAAAGCUUGCUUUUAACAAGGCUAGCGGCGGACGGGUGAGUAACACGUGGGCAACCUGCCUGUAAGACCGGGAUAACGCCGGGAAACCGGGGCUAAUACCAGAUCGUUUUUUCCUCCGCAUGGAGGAAAAAGGAAAGGCGGCUUCGGCUGCCACUUACAGAUGGGCCCGCGGCGCAUUAGCUAGUUGGCGGGGUAAUGGCCCACCAAGGCAACGAUGCGUAGCCGACCUGAGAGGGUGAUCGGCCACAUUGGGACUGAGACACGGCCCAAACCCCUACGGGAGGCAGCAGUAGGGAAUCUUCCGCAAUGGACGAAAGUCUGACGGAGCAACGCCGCGUGAGUGAAGAAGGCCUUCGGGUCGUAAAACUCUGUUGCCGGGGAAGAACAAGUGCCGUUCGAACAGGGCGGCGCCUUGACGGUACCCGGCCAGAAAG
rnacentral:rRNA from 1 species